GAGCCGCCGCCAUGAUGGAGAGGCAGCAGGGGGCGCGCCGCGCUGCAAGCGGCUGAGAACACUUCGAAGCUGAAAAACCAAUUCUGAAGACAAGUGGAUCGGGAUGUAAGCUGUGGCUGGAUGUGGGAUGCACAGAGUGACAAAACCUCCAUCAAAGGAGCUCCUGCCAGUGUGGAUCCUGCUGAUCUGAGGAAAGCUUUUAAAUGGAGAGCGUAUUAGUUCUGGCCUAUUUUGUCAGCAUAUCAGAGCGGGAGAAGUGACCUCUUGCAAAGAGGUGAACACCUUGUCUCCAGCUGGAUAGGCAGCAUGGCUUUGGGAACAAGGCAGAAGGACAUUGCAAUGAGGCAUCCUAAUUGCACAUUGAACUGUUGGCUUUGCUGUGGUUUUAGCUUGCAAGCCUAAAGCGAUGCACAGUGCUGUGGAUUUGGGGCAAAGACACAAGUGGAGGUGCAGCUUCCCCUCGAACUCAGCAGGAUUUUUCACAUGGAUCACACAGAAGGACCUCAGAGCUAGCAUGAGCCUUGCUUUAUUUUCUCAGGAUUAGUUACUCAGUGAUAAUACUCAUUUUGAAGGAAGAUAAUUAACAAAUUAUGGGGACUUUUAAUAAAAAGCAACAGCUACUUUAUGCAGGCUAGUUUUGCAGUCUUUGGGUUGGCUUUUCUUCAUUUUGAUGCAGUCACAUGCAGCAAUGCCUGCACAAAGUGACUGCAGUUUCUAAUUCUUAAAUUUCCUUAAGGGUUAUUCUUGACAAAUGACUUCUUACUACAGAAUGGAAAGCUUGAUUUAGUUGUGUGUUCGCACUUUGCCCCUAAUAUCAAUGUCAAUCUAUAUGUGCAGAUCAGUAUGCAUCUCCACACAAACCGGAAUUUGAAUACAUUGAAGCAAUUAGUCACAAGGGAUCAUUCCAAAUUUCUCCUUUUUACGAUGCUGUAAAAUUUGUUCCAAAAUGGUUUGGUCUCUUCCCUUAAAGGAGAAUUUAGCUGCAGAAAUAUGUGAAGGGAUAUGUGCAGUGUUUACGUAUUAGGCUAGUACAGCGCAUGCAAAGAACACGCAUUGUUUUUUAUCACUAAUUGGUUGUUUGUAUGGCUCUUUCCUUAGAGGAGGCAGAGGUUCAUUAUGACAGUACGUUCACGUAUCCAGAGUUACAGAUACUUUUGAGAGGAAAGUUGUUUUAAUUAGGAGCUCUAGCAAUCUAUUAGGACAGCAGCCAGGUGUCAUGAGUAGAGUAUGGAUUUUUAGUGUGCUAGUAUUCUCUGGUAGCUACUGAUAUGCUUGGCUUCACCUCUUGAUUAAUAUGAGACUUUCUGCCACACAGCAAACUUUGUAUGAUGGGACAGCAGCAUGUCUAUGAAUAACUAGCUGACGAGCUGUACGUUCACUCCUUUGCUUGUGAUAAAUUUUAAAGGUGACCAUAGCCUUACUGAAUCACUUCACUGAUACCAUGCUGAAUCUAAAUCAUUCAGUUAACUCUUAUUUCACUUUCAUUUGGGUUCUUCUUGGUUUACAUUUUAUAGUACUGAAUGUUUUGAAGAAAAUGAACAUCUAUUGUGUUAUCUGACUGGGAAAUGAAAUUUUCUGUCUUAAAAGAUUGUUCCGUGAUUCCCUGAGGCAAUGAGCCAUUUUAGUUCUGGGUAAUCUCUUUAGUACUGUGCUGUUGUUUUUUUUUUUCCUUUACUGUCAUGCAGCAUUUUGUGCAGAAUCUGUUCAAACAUUGUUUUUUUCAUAUGAUUGAUUUAAUUAAAAUGUUUGUGAUUGACAGUGACUGUACAUAUUUCAGAGCAAAUAACUGAUGUCUGUGCUACUUUGGUUUUAUCUCAGCAGUGCAGGAGGAAAAAAAAUAAUAAAAAGAAGGAUGUGGUUUCAUGUUAGUCACCCAUCAGUCUUAGGUUCAUCUCUUAUGGGAAGCUGUUGUUUCCACAAAAAGUAUAAGCAUAAAAAGCUCUUUU
ensembl:lncRNA